rnacentral:rRNA from 1 species
UACGGAGGGUGCGAGCGUUGUCCGGAAUCAUUGGGCGUAAAGGGCGCGUAGGUGGCCCGGUCAGUUCGUAGUGAAAGCGCGGGGCUCAACCCUGCGUCGGCCAUGAAUACUGCCGCGGCUGGAGCACUGUAGAGGCAGGCGGAAUUCCGGGUGUAGCGGUGGAAUGCGUAGAGAUCCGGAAGAACACCGGUGGCGAAGGCGGCCUGCUGGGCAGUUGCUGACACUGAGGCGCGACGAGCGUGGGGAGCAAACAGG